CCUUGACAGAAUUUGUUAAGUAUUUGGGUCGGACGGGGAAGUGCAAGGUUGAGGAGACGCCGAAAGGGUGGUUUAUUACUUAUAUUGAUAGAGAUUCAGAGACCCUUUUUAAGGAAAAGAUGAAGAAUAAGAGAAUUAGAGCAGAUUUGGCUGAGGAGGAGAAGCAAGAGAGGGAAAUCCAGAAACAGAUUGAGAAGGCUGAGCAAUUUUAUACAACAAUUAGAAAUGAAGAUUCUGAGAAAGAGAGUACUGAAGUGGUGGAGCCUGCAGCUAAGGAAUUGAAGUUGGAGGGUGGGGUUAGGAUUGGCUUUGCUUUUGGUUCGAAAAGUAGUGUUGGUAAGGAAAAAGGAGAGAGUUCUUCUCGAUUGAUAUUUGAAGAAAUUGAGGAGAAGGAAAGAAAUAAUGCAAAAAAUAAAGAGAAUGCUGACACGGGUAAGAGUGGGAAAUCAGCAUUGGACGAGUUGAUGAGGGAGGAAGAGAAGGCAAAGGAGAGGAGUAAUCGGAAGGAUUAUUGGCUAUGUGAAGGGAUAAUUGUUAAGGUGAUGAGUAAGACAUUGUCAGAGAAAGGUUAUUAUAAGCAGAAAGGGGUUGUGAGGAAAGUGAUUGAUAAGUAUGUUGGGGAAAUUGAGAUGCUUGAGAGUAAGCAUGUGUUGAGAGUUGACCAGGAAGAGCUUGAGACUGUAAUUCCACAGAUAGGGGGUCUGGUCAGAAUAGUUAAUGGAGCCUACAGGGGAUCAAAGGCGAGGUUGUUAGGAGUGGAUACAGAGAAGUUUUGCGCCAAGGUGCAGGUAG
rnacentral:misc_RNA from 1 species